GGACCGCUGCGCCGAGGCGGGGGGCGGGGCGAAGUCCCGGGAGCUGAAGAGGAGUGGUCUGCAUUAAGUUGCCGGGCUACUGAAGAAGAGCAUUGGGCAGGAAGCACCUCCUGGAAGCGGAGGUUGGUGACCCGGGGAAGGAAACAAGGCAUUAGAGCCGGACUCUGAAGCAAGGUGGUGGGGAGGCAUAGAUAGUUGUCCGUCAAUGCCAGCAAUAGCCGGCCGAGGAUACAGGGGAACAGGUGCCUGCAACAUGAUUUCAGGCUGUGGAUGGCGUGCUCAGAAGUGGUGUGGUGGGGAUGACUGUAGUCCUGGUGUCUGCCAACCUCUGGAAUGGGAGCUACAAGAGCCGCUACACAGGCACCUAGAACUGUGCCAGAUCAAGCAGAAGACCAGGAUGUAAAGUCGUCUGCUACUACUCCAAUGACUUGCCUGUCUCCUUCCUGCUGUGAUGAUCAGGGACUAACCCUCUCAAAGGCUAUGUGGGGGUCGACUGGCUCUGGGGAAAAGCUGCUGUUGGCUAGUGCCGGUGACUGGUGACAAAGGAUGGAGCAUAAGAGGACGCCAGCGCAGACAUCUCAGCACUCAACAGAACUGUGGUCCUGGCUGGUCUGAGGAUCAGGACCACCUGGCUUAAGACCCGAAGAGACCCAAAGGCAAAAGCCAUUUCCUGCCCACCCCAUGACAGUGACUCCAACUUCCCAUCAGAUCUGACGGUGAUCUGCCUCAAAAAUCAAGCCAAAGGGUCUCUUCCCUGAAUCUGAAACUCACUGACUGCACAAGACUACUUGGCCACUGAAGCCCAGUGGAUCCUGCUGCUCCAGCCUCUCUAGAGCUAGGACUACAGGCAUGUAUUGCCAUGCCCAGCUUUCUACAUAGGUGACUGGAACUGAACUCAGGUACAAGAGUGUGGAUCAGUGGAAGACCCUGCCUAGGUGUACAAGGCCCUUGGUUAAUACCCAAAACAAUAAAACAAAGUUUUUCAGACUAUGUGUGCUGCUAAAAACACAAGAUUAGUUAGUUGCUGGCAGGGCUGGGAAGACAGGCAGGUCUCCUGGGAGGCUUUAGAGGGUCCUCGUUAUCCUGAUACUUGGUGAACAACAUCCUUCCCGUGUUAGAAAACACGGGGGCCCUGCAGCAGUGCAAAGGAAGUGAAAUGAAGGUGGUCCAGCACUUCUAACCACUUCUCUCUCUCGGUGGUCAGCCUGACUGGGCCCGUGCAUCUUCAGUGAGAGCAAAGGCUCUCAACCUGUGGGUCCCACAUAUAUAUCAGAUAUCCUAUAUAGCAGAUGUUUACAUUGGGAUUCAUAACAGUAGCAACGUUAGUUAGGAAGUAGCAAUGAAACAUUUUAUGAGCCGGAUGGUGGUGGAGCACGCCUUUAAGAGAGGCAGAGGCAGGCAGAUCUCUGUGAGUUCUAGGACAGGUCCCAAAACUACAGAGAAGCCCUGUCUGGCAAAAACCAAACUAAUAAUAAUUUUAUGGUUGGGUCACCACAAUGUUCAGUGAGGUGUUGAAGGGUCGCAGCCUUAGGAAGGUUGAGAAGCACUGCGUUCAAGGUUAAAGCAGAGCCUACUGAUGUAAGCUGCAGGCUGCUGGUGUUCCCGGCUGCACCGUCUCAGUUUGGUUUCAUUUUCCUCCCCCAGCUGGCUCUAGAAAUACUGCUUUGGUCUAAAACUACCAUAAGUGCGUCUCCUGUGGUCACUGAGAACUUUAUAUGGGCCUUGGGCUGCAGACCUGGCGAUCAAACAGAACCAUUUCUCUGCCACUGCAGAGUUCUAUUCUGGAAAGAGAAGGGAAGAGAAGCACUUCCUGUUGGUAUUGGAAAGGGAAGAGGUGAAGUAACUGGAGUUCUCUGAGCAGCCUCACUUAGUUUGGAACCUUUUGUCUAUGAUGUGCGAUGUGGAUGUAAGGCAUGCUUAACUUUCCCUCCACACUACUCAGAGCACAGCCAAGCGGGCUAUGAACCGCAGAGGAAUUCUUAAAGACACAGUUCUGUAAUUGCCUCACACCGCUUCCACUAUGCUACACAUUUUUCUUCUUGAGCUGCAGGUUGGACCCAGGGCCUCACACAUGCUGGGCAAACGUUCUAGCACAUCCACUACUUUAAUAGGGCCUUUGGCCUGUAACAGCAGUCUGUAUUUGGUCACUGAAACCUACAUUUAUUUAGCAAUAUGGGCAAUAGGGAUGACUGCAUACAUUUAUUUUGUGUGUUUGUUCACAUGCAGGCAUGCACAGUAACAUGUGGAAGUUAGAGAACAAUUUGGGAAUCAGUUCUUUCCACCAGGUAGGUUCUAUGACCGUGGUCAUCAUGAAUUGAAGCAAUCACUUUAUCCACAUGUCACACAUGCUUACUGAAUAUUUUUCAAAGAAAAAAAUGCAUGUCUCUCAGUGACA